GUGUAAAGAUGGCGGCUUCCUUUGGAGCAACGCUGUUUCUGUGAUCCUGUUUACUGGGCGACCUAAACCAGCGUUGAUUCAGCCGUACAGCUUUCAGAGCGCUGCGGCGGAGAUGAAGACCUUCUGCGGGAGAGCCAACCCGACCACCGGAGCUUUAGACUGGGUGGAGGAGAGCGAGGAGUACGACUACCACCAGGAGAUCGCCAGGUCCUGUUAUGCAGACAUGCUGCAUGAUCACGACAGGAAUAAGAAGUACUACGAGGGCAUCCGGGCAGCCGUAGCCAGAGUAAAGGCUCGUGGCGAGAGGGUCAUCGUCCUGGACAUCGGCACCGGAACCGGCCUCCUGUCGAUGAUGGCCGUCACCGCCGGGGCUGACUUCUGCUACGCUGUGGAGGUUUUUAAGCCCAUGGCUGAGGCGGCGCAGUGCAUCGUGGAGAAGAACGGCUUCUCCGACAAGAUUAAGAUCAUCAACAAACACUCCACAGAUGUCACAGUGGGACCAGAUGGAGAUAUGGAAGUGAAGGCCAACAUCCUGAUCACAGAGCUGUUUGAUACCGAGCUGAUCGGUGAAGGAGCCCUGCCCAGCUAUGAGCAUGCUCACCAAAACCUGGUUCAGGAGCGCUGUGAGGCCGUCCCUCACCGGGCCACCGUCUACGCCCAGCUGGUGGAGUCGGAGCUUCUGUGGAGCUGGGCUCAGCUGCAGCCGGUGGAGGUGGAGGGGGUCCGACUGGUCCCUCCGCCCGCGGUGGGCCGGUGCGCCGGAGCCCACGCGGUGUGUGACAUCCAGCUGAGCCAGGUGUCUCCGGCUAGCUUCACCCCACUAGGUCCCGUCUGCAACAUGUUCACUGUGGAUUUCAGCAAAUCUGUAAGCAGCGCCUUCCAGGUCCACUCCUCCCAGUUUGUGGCUCAGUCGAGCGGUCGGGCACAGGUGGUUUUGUCCUGGUGGGACCUCGAUAUGGAUCCCAGUGGGUCUAUAGUGUGCACCAUGGCACCCAGCUGGACGUACCAACAGCCAAAGAUGGCUCCAUGGCGGGACCACUGGAUGCAGAGUGUGUACUUCCUGCCUGUGGAAAGCCAGGUGACAGAAGGGGAGGAGCUGAGCCUGACGGUCUGCCACGAUGACUACAGUCUGUGGUACAGCCUGCAGCCUCGCAGCCAGCGGGACACACAGACUGAGGCUCCUCCCUCUCGCCCGUGCUGCACCUGCCAGGCUCACCUGGUUUGGACUCGGCCACGUUUCGGCGAACUCAACGACAGACAGCGUACAGAGAGCUACGUCAGUGCUCUGCGCAGCGUCGUGAGAGAGGACAGCGUGUGUCUCAGCGUCAGCGAUGGAAGUCUGCUUCCUGUGUUCGCUCACGUGCUCGGAGCCAAGAAGGUGUUUGGUUUGGAAAACUCAGGAAUGUCUAAACAGGUUAUUGACGAGGUUUUGGAAGCCAACUCAAUGAAAGGAAGUGUUGAUCUGCUGGAGAUCAGGCCGGAGCAGCUGAGCAGUAAUGAUCUACAAGGAGAGCAGAUCUCAGUCCUGCUGGGUGAACCCUACUUCAGCACCAGCCUCCUGCCGUGGCACUCCCUGUUUUUCUGGUACUGUCGCACCGCCCUGGCAGGCCUCCUGCGGCCCAGCGCCACCAUCCUGCCCUGCUCUGCCUCCCUGCACGUGGUGGCCGUGGAGUUCCAGGAUUUGUGGAGGAUUAGAGCGCCGUGUGGAUCGUGUGAGGGCUUCGACGUCACGCCCAUGGAUGAAAUGGUCCAGCGCUCUCUGGAUUUCCGUGAGUCCCGUGAGGCGGAGCCGCACCCCCUCUGGGAGUACCCUUGUCGGGCUCUCACCCAGUCCACCGCCGUCAUGACUUUUGACUUCACACAGUGCAUCCCUGAGCAGCCAAUCAGCAGCCAGGGCUCGCUGCCUUUCAUUAGGGAAGGUCGUUGCCACGGUGUUGCAUUGUGGAUGGAAUACCAGCUGACAGAUGACAUCACUGUCAGUGCAGGUCUCACUGGACCAAUCAGUGAGCAGGGCGACUGCGAGUGGAGUCGACACAGGAAGCAGGGCGUGUACUUCCUCAGGUCGCCGUGGGAGAGUUCAGGGGACGGCAGGGCCGCGGUGUCGUACAGCCUCACCUUUGAACCCAGUUUAGGAGACGUUAGGAUGGACUUCAGCGUCACGUCUCAGUGAUGUCACCGACUGAACAACUCGUGCUGACAUCACUGCGCUCCUCCCACCUGGUGCAUUAUUAACACGUUCUGUUCUGACUGAAGGUGCCGCUUGCUGUUAUAAUAUUUCAUUAUCUCAAAGACUGUAAUGUAAGCAUCAUCAUCGUCACGCUUAGCCAAGAUUCAGGAGCGUCGUGUGCUACAGGUGACCAGAUGUCAACCAGCAGGUUCAGUCUAGUGAAGCCAAAUAUUACAAGACUGUAUUUAUUGGAUAUUUGUGAAUGAUUUUGUUACAGCCGCUGAAAUUAAACCUUACUUUAUCCAUUUUUUUAAUGUCACAGUUUCUGUGAAGGAAGUGUACUUGUUUUAGAAGAGCGCCGUUUGUGAUACUAAUGAGGCACCUCCAUCCACCCGACUGAAGUUGCCCAAAUAUAAGAUUUUGUGACUUCCUCAUUUUCCCAAAUCUCUACAAAGACGAUGUAACGUUGGCUCGACCCAAACACGUUCAGAGAACGGCUCCUCUUCCUGCUCUGUCGGGAUCAAACAUUCGAUCAUCUUCUGUAAAAUUUUAGUCUUUUUUUUAAUGUCCAUCAGUUUCCUAAAGAACACAGGGAGUUCAACUAACUUUAUUCAUACAGUUUGAUCUGAAGUGGCCGUUUCCCUUAGUCUAAAAAAGUACCUUCAUAUUUUAUUAACUAUUAAUUAAGUGAGGUGUCUGAAGAAGAAUAACAAAUUUGUCUGUUUUUCUAAACACUGCUGUUAGAAAUCAGG